rnacentral:rRNA from 1 species
AUUGAACGCUGGCGGCAGGCUUAACACAUGCAAGUCGAGCGAGCGGCGGACGGGUGAGUAAUGUCUGGGAAACUGCCUGAUGGAGGGGGAUAACUACUGGAAACGGUAGCUAAUACCGCAUACCAUCAGAUGUGCCCAGAUGGGAUUAGCUAGUAGGUGGGGUAAUGGCUCACCUAGGCGACGAUCCCUAGCUGGUCUGAGAGGAUGACCAGCCACACUGAAACUGAGACACGGUCCAGACUCCUAACGGAGGACGCAGUGGGGAAUAUUGCACUCUGGGCUAAAGCCUUUAGCAGCUAUUCCGCGUGUAUGAAGAAGGCCUUAGGGUUUUAAAAUACUUUCAGCAGGGAUGCGUUACCCGCAGGAGAAGCACCGGCUAACUCCGUGCCAGCCGCCGCGGUAAUAC